rnacentral:rRNA from 1 species
GACGAACGCUGGCGGCGUGCCUAAUACAUGCAAGUCGAGCGAGACUCUUCGGAGUCUAGCGGCGGACGGGUGAGUAACACGUGGGCCACCUGCCUGUAAGACUGGGCUAACACCGGGAAACCGGUGCUAAUACCGGAUAAUCCUUUUCCUCUCAUGAGGAAAAGUUGAAAGUCGGUUUCGGCUGACACUUACAGAUGGGCCCGCGGCGCAUUAGCUAGUUGGUGAGGUAACGGCUCACCAAGGGGACGAGGCGUAGCCGACCUGAGAGGGUGAUCGGCCACACUGGGACUGAGACACGGCCCAGACUCCUACGGGAGGCAGCAGUAGGGAAUCUUCCACAAUGGACGAAAGUCUGAUGGAGCAACGCCGCGUGAGCGAUGAAGGCCUUCGGGUCGUAAAGCUCUGUUGUUAGGGAAGAACAAGUACCGGAGUAACUGCCGGUACCUUGACGGUACCUAACCAGAAAGCCACGGCUAACUACGUGCCAGCAGCCGCCGUAAUAC